UACGUAGGGUGCGAGCGUUGUCCGGAAUUAUUGGGCGUAAAGGGCUCGUAGGCGGUUUGUCGCGUCGGGAGUGAAAACCCAGGGCUUAACCCUGGGCUGGCUUUCGAUACGGGCAGACUAGAGGUAUGCAGGGGGAGAACGGAAUUCCUGGUGUAGCGGUGAAAUGCGCAGAUAUCAGGAGGAACACCGGUGGCGAAGGCGG
rnacentral:rRNA from 1 species